CCGGCGCACGGGUGAGUAACACGUAUGGAACCUGCCCUAUGCAGGGGGAUAAGCGGAAGAAAUUCCGUCUAAUACCGCAUAACACCAUUUGGAGACAUCUCCAGGGGGUCAAAGGAGGCGACUCCGGCAUAGGAUAGCCAUGCGUCGCAUUAGCUAGUCGGCGGGGUAACGGCCCACCGAGGCGACGAUGCGUAGGGGUUCUGAGAGGAAGGUCCCCCACACUGGUACUGAGACACGGACCAGACUCCUACGGAAGGCAGCAG
rnacentral:rRNA from 1 species